AUGUGGUUCCUUCCUUUGCAGCUCUGUUCUUGCCGCCGUGGUGGAGGCAGAUGGGCUGCGGAGGCCGCAUCCAUCUCUAGUCGAGUUGCAACUGCAGUCUUCUUCCUCGAUCUUAUCAGCAGGUGUGUUCCUGGUGGAGCUUCGGCGCGCCUAGGUCGUUUGCCGGUCUCUGUCGCCACCCUGCUUUUUCUGGUCGAAGGGCGACCUAUUGAAGCCGUGAUGGCUCUGUUCUUUCCUCCCGACGCGCCGUCGUCAGAUGGGAGGCAGCCCAGUGCAAGCCAAGCUCAUGCUGUCGUUUCUUCUGAUCUGGUGAAGAUGGCGCAGCGGAGCCGCCGCCCCAAGUGGUUUGUCCCCGGCGACGGAGGGUUUGGAGUUCGGCUUGUUCUGUUACAGAGAACUGGAUUGCGUUUUUGCUCUCUUUUCUGGGGUCCUCUUUGCAAGAUGCAAGGACUGGUCUGUAAUUUUCUUUUCUUUAGGGGUCCUUGUGUAAGGUGUGCUUGUACUGUUUGCAGUUAUAUCUAA
rnacentral:rRNA from 1 species